rnacentral:rRNA from 1 species
AACGAACGCUGGCGGCAUGCCUAACACAUGCAAGUCGAACGAGACCUUCGAGUCUAGUGGCGCACGGGUGCGUAACGCGUGGGAACCUGCCCUUAGGUUCGGAAUAACUCCCCGAAAGGGGUGCUAAUACCGGAUAAUGUCUUCGGACCAAAGAUUUAUCGCCUUUGGAUGGGCCCGCGUUUGAUUAGCUAGUUGGUAGGGUAAAAGCCUACCAAGGCGACGAUCCAUAGCUGGUCUGAGAGGAUGAUCAGCCACACUGGGACUGGGACACGGCCCAGACUCCUGCGGGAGGAAGCAGUGGGGAAUAUUGGACAAGGGGCGAAAGCCUGAUACAGCAAUGCCGCGUGAGUGAUGAAGGCCUUAGGGAUGUAAAGCUCUUUUACCCGGGAUGAUAAUGACAGUACCGGGAGAAUAAGCUCCGGCUAACACCGU